UACUACUCAGGAAAAAAAGAACCAUUUGGC
rnacentral:piRNA from 1 species